AACUUCAAUUUUAAUCUGGAUAACGCCAAAGCUUUUCCUCAAAUUCACCCCUGGAGUCAGCUCAUAGAUGCUCUGAUUUUGUCUACCAUUGCUCCUCCUUAAUAUCUCUCGCACAGGUGCCAUUGACCUUUAGAUGGGCUGUACGGUGUGGGGUUCGGUGCCAUGGAUCUGCUUCUCCAGGGACCAGGAUCUUGAGAUCUUCAGGCUGGGUUUCCAUGGAGGCAUGGAGCUGCUUUUCCUCCUUCAUAACUGCACUCAAAACAGCCCUGUUGCUCUAGAAUGGAGACUUGGGCAACUCCUUCUGGCACAGAUUUGUUCACCUCAGGUGAAAUUCAGAUAGAAGCAAGCUGCAGGCAGUUUCACCUCUAAGUCCAUGGGUUCUCAACUGGUAACGUCCUCUUAUGGAUGUUAGCCCAUGAGGUCAAUCCUGUAGCAAUCUAAGGCUUGAGAAAAAUUAAUCUUCUGGAAAAUUCCAAGAAUACAUCUUAGGGAAACUGGCUCUACCUUUAUGACUUGGAUCACACAAGGAUAUGCUUUUCAUCUUGGACUAGAACUGAGAGCCAAUGGAUGUGUUAUCUAAAACUAUCCCAGUGUGUUCACUAUACAGAGGAAGAUUCUGAGAUUCAAGACUCAAGACUGAAGAAGAUCAUUAUUUUUAUUAUUUUAGUCUUAUGCACAAAAUGAUAUCUACUGAAUAAGCAGGUUUUUAAUAGGUGACUUAUAUAUGUUAGCAAAAAUAAACACUUUGUCUUUUAGAUCUAUUCUAGUUUUUCAGUAGCUGUAGACUUAAGUGCUAACUUUUAGCCCAUAGGAUAAGAAGAAACCAAGUCCUAAAAGUAGGCCAGCACCAGGGUUCAGGCCUCUGACUUCAAGCCAAGGGCUCAUCAUCUUGAAUUGCGCACGAAUUUUUACACAGCGCCAAAGGAAACUGCCUGUACUUACUGUUGUAGGUGCUUUGCUGGAUUCAGGAUGCAGACAAGGUCCACGCAUUGUGGUUGGUUCCCUUAGGUGGAGCUAUACCUACUCAAGCUGUAACCAAACUCACCCUGAAUGGAAA
rnacentral:lncRNA from 1 species